rnacentral:rRNA from 1 species
GACGAACGCUGGCGGCGUGCUUAACACAUGCAAGUCGAACGAAGAGCGAUGGAAGCUUGCUUCUCUCAAUCUUAGUGGCGAACGGGUGAGUAACGCGUAAUCAACCUGCCCUUCAGAGGGGGACAACAGUUGGAAACGACUGCUAAUACCGCAUACGAUCUAAUCUCGGCAUCGAGGAUAGAUGAAAGGUGGCCUCUACAUGUAAGCUAUCACUGAAGGAGGGGAUUGCGUCUGAUUAGCUAGUUGGAGGGGUAACGGCCCACCAAGGCGAUGAUCAGUAGCCGGUCUGAGAGGAUGAACGGCCACAUUGGGACUGAGACACGGCCCAGACUCCUACGGGAGGCAGCAGUGGGGAAUCUUCCGCAAUGGACGAAAGUCUGACGGAGCAACGCCGCGUGAGUGAGGACGGCCUUCGGGUUGUAAAGCUCUGUUAAUCGGGACGAAAGGCCUUCUUGCGAAUAGUGAGAAGGAUUGACGGUACCGGAAUAGAAAGCCACGGCUAACUACGUG